rfam:Schistosoma mattheei strain Denwood, Zambia genome assembly, scaffold: SMTD_scaffold0007467
AUCCAGCUGAUGAGUUUCAAAUAGGACGGAACGCGUGUGUAGACUGUAU